GAUAAACUUCGGAAGCAGAUUCUCAAAGUCUCCGAGAACCUCUUGUGCAAGUUGGCUGUUUGUGUGUCGUUGAUGCUGCUGGAUCAUCAUCUUGAGCGUCAUUUUAUCUUCAUCAUCUUCAACUUUGUCCAGAUCAACGAGUUCAAGGUUGCAUCUCGUGUGGAACUUCCCAUCCACGUCAAGGACGUAAGCAAUACCACCGCUCAUACCAGCAGCAAAGUUUCUACCAGUCUUUCCAAGCACCACAACGGUUCCACCAGUCAUGUACUCGCAACCGUGGUCACCAACACCUUCCACAACGGCUUGAGCACCAGAGUUACGAACAGAGAAUC
rnacentral:lncRNA from 1 species